UCCAGUUCAAAAGAACUGGAGAGUAUCCAGUUCGCGGCUGAGAUCUAUUUGAAGAGAUCCAAGGCCAAAAUUAGGCCACGUCAUCGAGAAAAAAAUCACGGUAAAAAUUAAAUUUUAAAUUUUAAACAUCCAGAGAAAAAAGAUUCAUGAAGGUUUAUUUUCAUCUUCCCCCAUUUUUCUCUCUCCCACCGAAACCUUCCUCCCUCCGCCAUCAGCAACCACUGCCGCCACCGACAGCCAACCGGACUCAUCGACACCACCACCGGAAGAUGAGAGCGCCGCCCACCGUAUACAACUGGCACCACCGAAAGAGAUCCGGCUACCUCGACGAACGCCGGCAACACCCAACGCCACCACCGGCUGCAGAGUGUGGUGUUUUAUGUAGAUGCUAAAUUGGAGAUCAAAGGUGAAAGAUUCAAAUUUUGUACUUGUGUCAAGAGCCAAGUUUUGAAGGCGGAAUUGAGCUAGCUUGUUCUGGCUUCUUCUUUUUUUUUUUUUCUUUUUUUUUUGUUUCGCACUUUGGUUAUUAAUGGAUAUGUAACAUUCAUGCUAAUGCUUAUACCAGUUUUGGAUUGGGGAUGCUUGCUUUGUUUAAUAAUGGAUGUGUAAUAUUCUGGGGUUUUUUAUGUAGAUGCUUGCUUUGCUCUC